AUAGUUAAAGAAUUAGGAAUGUAUUAGGUUCUUCAUCAUCCAAAAAACAACAACAACAACAACAACUACCCAGUAUAGUCCCACAAAGUGGGAUCUGGGGAGGGUAAAGUGUAAUUAAGUUAAACCUUAAAUAUAGAUGGUAAUAAGGUUUCUAUGUGGCAUUGGAAAGUACAAACAACAACAACAACUACCCAGUAUAGUCCCACAAAGUGGGGUUUGGGGAGGGUAAUAGGUAGACUAGACUUACCCCUACCCGAAAGGGCAUAGAGCCUGUUUCCAAUCGACCCUCGGCUCAGUGAAGGAAAGUAAAAACAAAAACACAAACAAAAGAGCAUUAGUAACUCCAGCAUAAAUAGCGUAAAUAAUUAUCUAAACAUAAGAACCAUAAAUAAAAUAGCAUGCAGUAAUAUCACACAAUAUCUACCAUAAAUAACUACCAUAAGAAAGACACAAUCCAAUACACAAAUCAUCUAUGGGUAGCCCUGUCAAGCCUCACCCAACCCCGGGAGAGGAGUACGAAAAACUCUAGGAGCCCCUAUCCUACAACCCNNNNNNNNNNNNNNNNNNNNAGCACGAAGAACUCUAGGAGCCCCUAUCCUACAACCUUGAUACUAGACCUCCAGACUUUCCUAUCAAGGGCCAUGUCCUCGGAAACCCGCAUUCUAACAAUGUCAUGCCUAAUCACCUCUCCCCAAUACCUCUUAGGCCUCCCUCUGCCUCGCCGUACGCCGACUAUCGCCAGCCGCUCACAACUCCUCACCGGGGCAUCAGGACUUCUCCUCCGCACAUGCCCGAACCACCUAAUCCUCGCUUCUCGCAUCUUCUCGUCCACCGGAGCCACCCCCACCUUCUCUCGAAUAACUUCAUUCUUAAUAUUAUCUAACCUGGUGGUCCCGCACAUCCACCUGAGCAUCCUCAUCUCUGCAACCUUCAUUCUCUGAAUAUGAGAGUUCUUCACUGGCCAGCACUUUGCCCUAUAUAACAUGGCAGGUCUAACCACAGCUCUAUAAAAUUUCCACUUGAGUUUCUGUGGAACUUUCUUGUCACACAGGACUCCUGAUGCAAGCCUCCACUUUGACCACCCGCUCCUAUACGAUGAGUGGCGUCCCCAUCAAUCUCUCCGUCCCCUUGCAUCACCGACCCAAGAUAUAUGUCAUUGUCCCUCUUGGCGAUGACCUGAGAUCCAAUCAUCACGUCUCUGCCUACUUCGCUCGGCUCGGCGCUAAACUUGCACUCCAAGUAUUCAGUCUUAGAUCUGCUUAUUUUUAAACCCUUAAACUCGAGAGUCUGUCUUCAUACCUCUAACCUCUCAAUAACACCGACCCUCGUC
rnacentral:lncRNA from 1 species